GACUACGGGGGGGGGUGUGAGCGAAGAAGAGGGGAAGACCGCCGCCGCUCGCUAGAACGGAGCGAACGGAUAAAUUAGAGAGUGUCGGAGAAAGACGGUAGGAGGGAGCACGCUGACGCGCGCGCGGAGCAAGGGAAGGAAGGUAGUUGAGGGGGGAGGAGAAGUUUAGCGGAGGGUAGCAGACGAGCGAGUGAGCGAGCGAGCGAGCGAGCGAGAGAGGAUGUUUAAGCUGCAAGUUGCCGGAAGGGGUGUCGGUGCGGUCGGAGUAGGUGGCGGGGCGGGGCCUACGGCUUGCCAGGGGUUGGCUUUCCGAAUUCCUCAUAGGAUGGAGGCGCGAUCGAUGACUCGCACCGCACACGACUACCCGCCGGGGUAACCCUCGCCACGGACCAAUCGCGUCGGUCGCACCGUCCUUAACUCGAAAGAUACUCGCCCUCGACGUUCCGCACCACGGGGUGGUUAUACGCGAGACGACGUGGACGUAGGGGUCUGCGAGCUAGAGGAGAGGGGGAGGAGGGAGAGGCAGAGAGAAGGGUAGCGAACGCUCGAAAUGGGGAAAGCACGGGGGUAAACGCGAUAAUGUGUGUGUGUGUAUGUGUGUGGGAGGGAGGGGGGUAACACACAACUCGGUGGCGGUGGCCGUGCCACGCCGUGUUACUUAUCCAUUAUAACACUCCAAGAUCUUGAUUUAAGCCUGCAGCCAGUGGUGAGCUUUUAACCAAUUAGCCUUUAUAGCCUACUCCCUCCGUCCUCCCGUUUCCCGCCGAUCUCUCUCCUCGCCAUCCUUCCAGCUCGCCUCGUCGGGUCUCUUUCCACCGUGGCGCGCGAUGGUAGCCACCACGUUGGUGUACCUACAUAUCCUAUACCAAUGUCCUCGUCCACAACCGCACGAUAUACCUACCUAAUUUACCGCCUCUCUUCAACCCUCCUGUUCCCUCCAGUUCUUUCUCUCUCUCUCUCUCUCUCUCUCCGUCUUUGCGCCUCCUUGUUACCUACGCGCAUUAUGCGCGUUGGUGUAUUAGCACGAUACAAGUACGUUAAACACGUACGCGCUACAAGAUGCGCGAUAGUAUUGGAUGCCCGUCGUCAAAUGGAUAGAAGAGUGUUCCUGUGGUGGCACUAGAUAUGCCGCCAAGGUGAAGCGAAUCAAGAGUGGACGCAAUCGAGGUACGGUAUGUGAGCAUCUUCUCUUCACUUCCUUUUCCGGCGGAUUACGUGUCACGUAUUGAUUCAAAGACGCAUCCUUCCAAUUUCCCGAGUCGCAUCAAAUGAUAACAGUGUCAUUCGGAGUUAUCCUCCGCUUGACGCAAUCACAUUGAGUAUAUUUUUUAUUUUACAACCAUCUGCUCGGAACGAUAUAAAUAAAUUAAAUAUUCAAAUGCGCGAUUAUCGUAGCUGCUUAAUAUCGUCUAAUUUGCUGAAACAGCACAUUGUUCUCGAAGGCUAAAUUGUAAAUAGUGACUGUUUUUAUGUUGAAAGAAAUAACAAAGCAUGUUUCUGAAAUAUAUAUUUUUUCCAUUCUUUAUAACUGUGCUAGGUAACAUUUUAUACACUUUAAUAAACUGAAUUAUCUUCCAGCAUAAAAUUUUUCUAAAAAUUUUCCACAAAAAAUCAAUAAAAUAUAAAAAACAGUAUUUUUAAAUUAUUUUCUAGCAGCUAGGAAAAAAUUUGGAAUUUUUGGAUAAUAAAGUUAAUAGAAAUUAUAAAAUAUCAUAUUACACUCUCUUUACAUAGAAGUACAAUUUCUUAUCUAAAUACAAUAAUUGUUCGAAACUUUAAAGAGAUAAAAAUUCUGUAAUGGGAUAUAUUUCUGUUGACUAUCACGUUAUGCGCGUCUAAAAAAGUCGUUAUAUCUCUUAAUCUAGUCCAUUGAGUUUUCUUCCUGUAAUCCACGAUGGUAAUUAGAGGAAGCAUUAUUUAAUCCCAUUUGGUUCAACUGGUUCGAUGUCGCCGAUAAACCGUAUCAAAAAAGCCACCUCUCUUUUCUGGGGCCAGAAGAUAAUUAAUACACAGGUAUAAGCAAGAUAUAAAAACGCGGUAAAAAACGUAAAGAGGCAGAGCGUGGCUAACGGCUCCAAGUCGGAUGGACGCAAAUGAGCGGCGCGCACGCCACGCAUAGCCACACCUCGCGGCUCGCGAGAAAGCGGAAAACCGCAAACGGCAACUCGAGCUCGCUCAAAGCUCGGAGAGCCCCGAGAGACUGUCGUGUCUGCCUGCAGGCGAGAAGGAAAAAAAUUGUUACUCGCCCGUGAGUUAAAAAGAAACGGUCAAACGCAAGCGACACUACGUCGUUUUGCGAUAUAUAAUAAGCAAGAACAAAGGCACUCCGUAAUACUCCUCUUUUCCUUACACUUCAUUCAUUAUGUAUUAUUCUUUGCAACAUUAUUAUAUUAAGAAUAAGUUAUCGGUAUAAUUUUACGAAUACAAAGAAAUCUUGAAGAAAUAGUGUUUUUAUAUUUAGAAAAAUCCCUUGCAAUAAAAAUAUCACAAUCGUAAAGUAAAAUCUAGAUAUAAGAUAGAAUAUAUUAAAAUGUAAAAAGCACUUUUCGAGGUAAUAUCAUCUUACGCAUUUUUGGGCUGAUUUUAUUAAAUAGUUCCUAUUAAUAUUGAAGCCCUAAUUGAAUACUAAAGCGAGUCAAGAAAAUUGUUAGCAAACAUCUCUCAUAUGGACUAGUUUAAACAUUAAAUACCAAUACAUUACUAAAAUAUAAUUUCUGUAUAAAUUGUAUUAUUAUUUAUAUCUAAUAGCGUUCGAUGCAGAUAUAUACAUGGACACGGCUUUGCAUAAAUCAGUGUAUGUUUCCGUACAAUAAACGCGCACUCGAUUCACGUUAUGACGGAUGGUCAUAUUCCAUUCACGCUCCAAUCACGAUUCGGUCAAAUAUCCUCUAAUGCGUUUGAAUUGCGCCAUACGCGUUCAAGUCACGAGAUAUGAUUUCAUAUAAUGGCAAUUUUUUAAAAACAUCGCGUGCGUUAACGUACACAUGUCCACUAUUAUUACCCAGAGAUUUUAAUUUUACACGCAAUAUUUUAUGUAAUUUACCAGCGUGUGAAUAAUCAACGAAAUAAAAAUUAAAAUAAUUCAAAGAUAAUCCAAUGUAACUGGAUCAAUACGCAUGUAUAAAUUUGAAAACGGUUUAUAUUUCUAAAAAUUAAUCAAACUAUACACUUUGAUCUAAUGCAAUCAUAUGCAUUUAUAAAAUAACACGUCGCUUUUCCUCUGUAAAUAUAAACGAGAUUGUAUCAAAAAGUGACACGUGUCGUUAUAGAUAAAUGCUUAACGGUAAUAUUUGUACUUGGAAAUUUUCCAAUUGUAUAAAACAACUUUCACAAUACUUUUGAGUAAAAAUAUUUAUACUAUGAAUUUUUUUAGAAUUAGCAAAAAACUCACGAUCAUUGAGAGAAAGCGAACAAUUUUGUGAAUUCUCGAUAUUUGGAAUUAGCAAGGUAAUUUUUAGCAUCGCCCUGGAUAAUCUAAUAGCCUAUGGGAAAUAGAAAAUGGAUAUUGUAUAAAGAGUAUUAGAUGAUCCGACCAAAUACGUGCGUUCCGUAGAAUCGGACUUUCGCCCGGUACACUUCGGUGCAUUGAAAAUGCAGAAGCGUCCGGAAUAUUUGCGGAAUAUGCGCGUAGCCGAUAGUCACAAUCGUUGCGGAUAGUGAAAUCCUAUUAUGCCGCAAGUAUCUGCCGUGUAUUCGGAGCUACUUCUUCAGACUAAGGGCACGGUUGAGAUUUUCAUUAACGGAAAUAGUCCUUGCGUGAAUUUUGCAUGAUAUAAUGUCUGUAAAUUCGAUAUAUUUGAUAUCUCUAAUGACUAUUGCGAACAACUUUGUUAAUUAAAGUGAAACCUAGUGAACUUUUGUGCACAGAUCUUCUCUUUCUCUUUUGCACCUUUAUCAAAUAAUUAAAUUUCAAGUGCAAUAUCUGAUUUUGAGUUGUUGUUUCCCCGAUAUUCACGAGGGUAAUAUUGACUGUUAGUGAAAGAUGGCUGUUAGUGUUAAAUAUAUAGCGAGAAAAGAUCACGGAACAAAAAGACCAUAACGUGCCACUAUAACGAGGUUACAUCGAGAGCUCUCUCCGAGAACAGAGAAUAGAGAACCGGCUCGUGUUUCAGAAGCGGUUGGAAGGAGAGAAAACGGAAAGGGGGGGGGGGGAGACGAACAGAGUGCUUGGGGGUUGGUGCUGGCGAUUGAAGUUUCGAGAUUCGGCUCAAAUUGGCAGCCGCUUAAGAGAUUUCGCGGACGGGCGGGUGUAGAGGCUGCAUAAUGCGACCGGGAGGUUUCCCGGCACGUCGAUCUCUCUCGUCGGCACCUCUCCUACGUGGAGUAUUUCGUAGAUGCCCCCCUUUUUCGUGCCUCUUUCCUUCCUUCUAGAUGUUUCUUCUCUCCCGUUUUUUUUCUUCUCUUCCGCAUUCGUGCCGAUGCGUAAUACUAGGGACGUCCACGGUCGAGUGCGCCGCUUGUGCCGCCUGUAUUUUACUUUGUGCCUGGUGCGUAAGAGGAUUAUAUCCUCUCUCUUUUCUGCUAAGAGGGAGAGGGUGCUCUUUUCUCUUUUCUCUCUCUCUCUCUCUCUCUCUCUCUCUCUCUCUCUCUCUCUGUCUUUCGGGAAAACGGACACGAGAACAGAUAGCGAAAGAAAAAGAUAGACGAGACGGGAGGUGAAAGAGAGGUAAGUGGUGGGUAUGCUUCACUUUUCACAGGGGCGUCUUUGUUCCCUAUUAUCCGAUGUGAUUAGUCGAUGAUGCAGGUAAGCUACCACGGGGGGUCCCCAUUAUGCUUCUGGUCGAACUACUCUCUCGCGAGUCGCGCGAGUCCCGACAUAGAAUUGCGAUCGGCCUGUUACUGAACCAAAGUACUACCCUCCGUUUCACUUUCCUUCUUCUCUGCAUCUUUUUCCCCGCGUCUCUUUUCUCUCUCCCUCCGACACUCUCUGUGUAUCUUCACGUUCCCUCUUGUUAUCUCCCUUCGAUGGCGAGGCGAGGUAUUCGAUAUUUCUUUUUUUUUCCUCGAGCCACUCGAUGUUUUACCUUUCUCUCUCUUUAUCGCGUACAGUACCGUCGCUUCGUAUUUUCCGUCCCGUUCUCUCUCUAUCUCUCUCUCUUUCGUCUCGUGUGCCCUUUUUCCCUAUCCUGUUCCAUCUCGGCCGGUUGUCGGCAAAUCGAGAGCCGCCGACCUGCUGUGAAAUUUAUACUCUUGCCGUACACCGCAACAAUGAUCGCAGCCUCCGCAUUUUAGCACGCCCGAUUUGUGUUAUCGUUCAGGAUUUCUUUCAUCCAGGGGAAUUUAUUUUGCGAAGUAAUUAGACCGUGCUCUUUCCCCCGUGUGCUAUUGUGUAUAAAGAGAUUAUAUGUGUAUGUACAAGGUGUAUCUUGGGUAUCGCGUGUUUCUUCUCGACUACAAAUUCUUUAGUAAAAUUAAUAUCAACUUUUUAAACUAAUUUUUCUUUCAAUGGCAUCUUUCUUUUAGACAUCUCGUAUUAUUAUGACAAUGUAAAAUAUUUUUUACACACUUUUAUUCACACAUUUAUUUAAAAUCACUCUUUUUCUUAUUUAAUAUAUAAAGGAAUGAGAUUUUAUCAUCUAUUUUUAUAUGUAAAAUUUAAUUAAUCGUAAAGAAUCUUUCAUAUUCAAUUACAUGUAAAUCUAUGUAUAUUGACAUUUCUGUUAAAAUUUUAUCAAAGGACUCUCAGUUAACAGAAAAUAUGUCUAGAAUAUAGUGAUCGCUGUGGGCAAAUGUGUGCGAGCCUGAGAGCGUUAUACGUAAUAUAAAUUUACUUUGGUUCAAAGAGUAUCAUUUAAUGUUCAUACGAUCCUUACACAUGCGGUAUAUAGUAUUAGUGUAUGUUAUACCUUUCAAGCGUUUAUACGGAUAUUUAUCUUCGAAUUAUGAUAUAUAUGUUUCAUCCUAUAAUAGAGUAUUUAUAAUUAAUUUUCACUCUUAAAGCAUUGGAUAUUAAUCCCAUUAAUUUGUAGCGACAGAUUCGAUGAGUUUCUCAACAUGGAAAACAGGAAAAUUAAAUUACUUCUGCUUAAGAGACAGCAUCGAGGAGUGGAAAUAUACUUACAGAUAGGAAGCGAUUAACGAGUGGCUACAGUUUAAAAGAUAGGCGGUAAUAAGAGAAGAAGAAGAAGGAGAAGAAGAGAAAUACAAUGGCGACAGGAGUAAACGAGAAGUUUGAAAGUCGUACGACGAGGCGUCAAGGAGAAAAGUAAACGCGAAUUAAAAGGAGCUGUACCAGAGGUUUGUUUCCAAGUAAACUUUGCUCGGACCGCCAAGCCGCAAUACGUUUUCCGCUAUAUAAAAUAUGCUCAUGCGAUCAAAGACGAAGGUAUCAAAAUUAACGACCGCGACUUGUAUCCCUGUAUUCUUUUAUGUAAAUUCUCUCAACGUAGAUCUAUAAACUUUUAUUUCUAUAAACACGUGAAAUUUAUAAAAUUAUGUCAGAAAAUUUACGGUUUAAUAAAUACUGUAACGUGUUAAGAUA